UAUCACCGUAAUGGCGUUGACAGAGAACGAAGAAUUAGAAGAUUGAAAAAUAAUGUGAAAAUUUCUAUUCGACAAUUAAAACUAAGGGUUUCAUCCAAUUAAAGAGAACGAGGUUACAAAAUAUCGAUAUUUGUCAUUGAUAAACAGAACAGGAAGCAAUCAUAGGAAUUCGAUGUGAUGCAAGCAGGUCGUAUACGUGAUGUUGCAUUAGCACGUGAAAGUGCAACACACGAUCAAUUAUUCGCCACCGUAAAUCGAUCGCAAUGAAACUGUUACAGAAUUUAAUAGUCGCUUCGCGUUCACCAGUGAACGUUAGAUAUCGCAUCGUUACAUUCGCAUGAAAAUCGAGCUGCAAAAUAGUAAAUGAUCGUUGAGAUUAUUUGAAACUGAACAUGAGUCAAAGAUUUUUAUAUAUGAAUUCCGAACAAAAUUCUUGCAAAUUCUGGAAUAAAGGAAUAAUCUCGGUAAACGUGAAUAUUCCAGCGGAAAUAAUGGACGAGGACGUGAUCAUUCAUGCGAAAUAGUCUUUCUAGAUGUGAAUCGGUAUACUUAAUAAUGCUGCUACAUAUGUGUUUCUUAUAGCUCUCUGUACCAAGUAAAUUUUCAAGUGACAUAAUCGAGGUGCACGCACACACACAUACACAAAAGAUGCGAAUGUUCAUGAUAGUAUUAAACUAUGUACAAUCAAAUUUGUAUCUGUCACACUUUUUGUGUAAUUUGAUAAAGCAAUAAAACCAUUGUUUUUUCGAUGA